GGGGUUGACUGGAUUUGACGGCGAGAUGAAAUGGUACGUAAGCACGCGGAGGCUCGUUGGUUCCCUCCUUAAUCUGAGUCAGCGCAAAUUUAAUUGGCAACUAUGAGUAUGCUCUCGCUGCUUAAUCGAAGUACAGUAGAUUACUAGCUUAAUUCUCUUACAAGGUAGGAGAACGAGACGUCGCUCCGAGGAUGUUGUUCCGAAUCCGGAGAUCAAGCGGCGCAGGUUAAAUCGGGAAUAGCCUUGGCAGGCCUCGUGGCUGAGGUGAAAUUUUAGAGGAUAAGGCGAUGGUUGGUGGUCCAGGUCUUGCUGUCGCACGAAAACUAAGGCUGGAAUAAGCGUGUAGAAAGCGUAUGGUUUCCUUGUGCGGACGAGGGUUCGACUCCCUCCAGCUCCACA
rnacentral:tmRNA from 1 species